rnacentral:lncRNA from 1 species
AGUAGACUGAAUCAUUAUUGAAAAAUCUGACCAGCUCUCUCCCCUCCGAACUCCGCUGUGAUCCCUGUCCAGCUUACACAGAUACCACACUUGAGGAAAGAUACAAGAAGAGGCCCAGUCUCUCUCUGGAACGUGAAGAACAGGAUGGGAUCUAAGAUGUGCUAAGGCAAGCCCCCAGUGUUCCCUCAGCAACUUCUGGUUUUCCCAUUACAAGACUUUAUUUCAAUUUUACCUCUUCAAGGCAGAGUGCUGUUAGUCUCCUUUCUUUCCUUUGAAGUCUGAUUGUUCAAUGACUCAGUUCCUCAGUCAUGAGCAGAAUGAAGCAAUUACUACGUUUUGUGAUUGUUUUACUUUGUUGAGGCUAACUAACCUUAAUAGUUGUGGCGGGGAGGGGAAAUGCAGGGUCAAGAGAUCCUCAGGCUCGAAUCCUACUUUUCAGUAGCUCAAGUGUGACCAUCACCCUAUGCUUGAGUCACCCAUCUGAGAAUUCCCAGGGCAAUGCUCAGCAUCACGGGAAACCAAGAAAUACUCAAAACAUUCUCAAGAUCUGAAAAUGAAACCGAACAGAGUCCGAUUAUAAGUGAGGUGAAAGGAGACGGGCCUUGAGCUAACACCUGUGCCAAUCCUCCUCUAUUUUUUGUAUGUGGGAUGCCUCCACAGCAUGGCCUACAAGUGGAGCAGAUCCAACCCUGGGACCCGAACCCACAAACCCAGGCUGCCAAAGCAGAGCACACAGAACUUUAACUACUCAGCCACCAGGAUGACACCACAGCAUGGCCUGAUGAGUGAUGAUAGAUCUGCACCCAAGAUCUGAACCUGUGAACCCUUGGCCGCUGAAGCAGAGCUGUCCUCUGGAGAGUGUUAAACACACCUCUGAAAGAAACAGCCCCAAAUACCUAUUUAUACCAUUGAUGACACUAAAGCCAAUAGCGACGACC